UAAUACAUGCAAGUCGAGCGCGAAAGUCCCGCAAGGGAUGAGUAGAGUGGCAAACGGGUGAGUAACGCGUGGGUGACCUGCCUUCGAGUGGGGGAUAACGUUUCGAAAGGAACGCUAAUACCGCAUGAUAUCCCGCCUUUCAACAGGUGGAGAUCAAAGCCGGGGAUCGCAAGACCUGGCGCUUGAAGAGGGGCCCGCGUCCGAUUAGCUAGUUGGUGGGGUAACGGCUCACCAAGGCAUCGAUCGGUAGCCGGCCUGAGAGGGCGGACGGCCACACUGGGACUGAGACACGGCCCAGACUCCUACGGGAGGCAGCAGUAGGGAAUUGUUCGCAAUGGGCGCAAGCCUGACGACGCAACGCCGCGUGGAGGAUGAAGACCUUCGGGUCGUAAACUCCUUUCGAUCGAGACGAAUGGCCUCCGGGUGAACAAUCCGGAGGAAUGACGGUACCGAGAGAAGAAGCCCCGGCUAACUCCGUGCCGGCAGCCGCGGUAAUACGGGGGGGGCAAGCGUUGUUCGGAAUUACUGGGCGUAAAGGGCUCGUAGGCGGCCAACUAAGUCAGACGUGAAAUCCCUCGGCUUAACCGGGGAACUGCGUCUGAUACUGGAUGGCUUGAGAUUGGGAGAGGGAUGCGGAAUUCCAGGUGUAGCGGUGAAAUGCGUAGAUAUCUGGAGGAACACCGGUGGCGAAGGCGGCAUCCUGGACCAACACUGACGCUGAGGAGCGAAAGCCAGGGGAGCAAACG
rnacentral:rRNA from 1 species